GGAAGAGUGCCCGAGUGGUUUAAGGGAACAGUCUUGAAAACUGUCGUGGAUGAAAGUCCACCGUGAGUUCGAAUCUCACCUCUUCCGCCA
rnacentral:tRNA from 1 species